rnacentral:rRNA from 1 species
CGCCCUUGUGAAAUUGUUGAAAGGGAAGCGCUUGCAACCAGACCUGCCUGCAGUUGCUCAUCCGGGCUUUUGCCCGGUGCACUCUUCUGCUGUCAGGCCAGCAUCGGUUCGGGCGGUCGGAUAAAGGCUUCGGGAAUGUAGCUCCUCUCGAGGAGUGUUAUAGCCCGUUGCGAAAUGCGGCCAGCCUGAACUGAGGUCCGCGCUUCGGCUAGGAUGCUGGCGUAAUGGUUGUAAGCGGCCCGUCUUGAAACACGGACCAAGGAGUCUAACAUCUGUGCGAGUGUUUGGGUGUCAAACCCGUACGCGUAAUGAAAGUGAACGGAGGCGGGAACCCCUCGGGGUGCACCGUCGACCGAUCCUGAUGUCUUCGGAUGGAUUUGAGUAAGAGCAUAGCUGUUGGGACCCGAAAGAUGGUGAACUAUGCCUGAAUAGGGUGAAGCCAGAGGAAACUCUGGUGGAGGCUCGCAGCGGUUCUGACGUGCAAAUCGAUCGUCAAAUUUGGGCAUAGGGGCGAAAGACUAAUCGAACUAUCUAGUAGCUGGUUCCUGCCGAAGUUUCCCUCAGGAUAGCAGUAACGUUUUCAGUUUUAUGAGGUAAAGCGAAUGAUUAGAGGCCUGGGGGUUGAAACAACCUUCACCUAUUCUCAAACUUUAAAUAUGUAAGAAGUCCUUGUUGCUUAGUUGAACGUGGACAUUUGAAUGUAUCGUUACUAGUGGGCCAUUUUUGGUAAGCAGAACUGGCGAUGCGGGAUGAACCGAACGCGGAGUUAAGGUGCCGGAAUGCACGCUCAUCAGACACCACAAAAGGUGUUGGUUCAUCUA